GACGAACGCUGGCGGCGUGCUUAACACAUGCAAGUCGAACGGAAAGGCCCUGCUUUUGUGGGGUGCCCGAGUGGCGAACGGGUGAGUAACACGUGAGUAACCUGCCCUUGACUUUGGGAUAACUUCAGGAAACUGGGGCUACUACCGGAUAGGAGCUCCUGCUGCAUGGUGGGGGUUGGAAAGUUUCGGCGGGUGGGGAUGGACUCGCGGCUUAUCAGCUUGUUGGGGGGGUAGUGGCUUACCAAGGCUUUGACGGGUAGCCGGCCUGAGCGGGUGACCGGCCACAUGGGGCCUGAGAGACGGCGCAGACGCCUACGGGAGGCAGCAGGGGGGAAUAUUGCACAAUGGGCGGAAGCCUGAUGCAGCAACGCCGCGUUCGGGAUGACGGCCUUCGGGUUGUAAACCGCUUUCGCCUGUGACGAAGCGUGAGUGACGGUAAUGGGUAAAGAAGCACCGGCUAACUACGUG
rnacentral:rRNA from 1 species